AUGUCUAGACAAUAGCUACAGCACAUGGACAGGGCUGAGACCAAUUUGGGAGACCGGAGGCUUGGUCCUUCAAGUCUACUGAAGAAAGAUUAUAAGGCAGAUGGAGAAAGGAAUGAGGGCAUCAAUUUCAGAAGGCUGUUGUAAAGAUCAAAAAAGAGAAAACGACACAAACUCCUUACUCAGCCUCCUGCCCAUCACGUGGGAAACGCACAGCAAACAGUAGCUAUUGUUGUUACUUUGCAAUUUGCUCAGAACAGUCUCCAGUUCCCUGAUGCCCGAGGCUGACUAAGAUGCUUAUAACGAGGAUGAAAAUUUCCCUAUUGCUUCAUCAAGGAAGCAUUCUACUGGGAAACGAGCAAAGCUGGAUGAGCUGCGGAACAGAUCCGCGUGUGCUCCCCGCUGCCAGUCUAACCAGCUGACCCGAACCCCCAUCACAGAACUGCACAAACAAGCCAGAAAGCCAAACCCUCCCAGGCGCAGAGGCCUAAGAUGUGAAGGAGGCCCGGCUCCGGCUGCCUCGUUCCCCAGGGCUCAGCUUCCACGCAGCACUCGGAGGAUAA